AAAGUCGUAACAAGGUUUCCGUAGGUGAACCUGCGGAAGGAUCAUUAAUGAAUUAAACUUGGUCGGGCUGAUGCUGGUUCCCUGGAACAUUGUGCACGCCUGCCUUUUAUUCUCAACCACCUGUGCACUCUUUGUAGGCUGAAAAACACUCUUUCGAGGUCACUCGGAUGUGAGAGCUUGCUGUGUUCGGGUUAGAGCCGGCUGCUCUUGAGUUUCUCAGUCUACGUCCUUACUAUUAACACGCAUGUCUUUGAAUGUAAUUGUCAGGCGUUUCAUUAUGCCUCUAAUUGUAAUACAACUUUCAACAACGGAUCUCUUGGCUCUC
rnacentral:misc_RNA from 1 species